UGAUUUUGUAUCCUUACUACUUCAUUGUUUUUGUAUCCUUACUACUACUACUAUACUUUUUAAAACAACAGGAGGAAAGAUGCGGUGGU
rnacentral:ribozyme from 14 species